rnacentral:rRNA from 1 species
CGGGACGGGUGGGUAAUGUCUGGGAAACUGCCUGAUGGAGGGGGAUAACUGCUGGAAACGGUAGCUAAUACCGCAUAACGUCGCAAGACCAAAGAGGGGGACCUUCGGGCCUCUUGCCAUCGGAUGUGCCCAGAUGGGAUUAGCUAGUAGGUGGGGUAACGGCUCACCUAGGCGACGAUCCCUAGCUGGUCUGAGAGGAUGACCAGCCACACUGGAACUGAGACACGGUCCAG